UCAGGCGUCGAGCGGCGGACAGGUGAGUAAUACUUAGGAAUCUACCUAGUAGUGGGGGAUAGCUCGGGGAAACUCGAAUUAAUACCGCAUACGACCUACGGGAGAAAGGGGGCAACUUGUUGCUCUCGCUAUUAGAUGAGCCUAAGUCGGAUUAGCUAGAUGGUGGGGUAAAGGCCUACCAUGGCGACGAUCUGUAGCUGGUCUGAGAGGAUGAUCAGCCACACCGGGACUGAGACACGGCCCGGACUCCUACGGGAGGCAGCAGUGGGGAAUAUUGGACAAUGGGGGAAACCCUGAUCCAGCCAUGCCGCGUGUGUGAAGAAGGCCUUUUGGUUGUAAAGCACUUUAAGCAGUGAAGAAGACUCUUCGGUUAAUACCCGGAGACGAUGACAUUAGCUGCAGAAUAAGCACCGGCUAACUCUGUGCCAGCAGCCGCGGUAAUACAGAGGGUGCAAGCGUUAAUCGGAAUUACUGGGCGUAAAGCGAGCGUAGGUGGCUUGAUAAGUCAGAUGUGAAAUCCCCGGGCUUAACCUGGGA
rnacentral:rRNA from 1 species